rnacentral:rRNA from 1 species
AGCCGCGGUAAUACGGAGGAUCCGAGCGUUAUCCGGAUUUAUUGGGUUUAAAGGGAGCGUAGAUGGGUUGUUAAGUCAGUUGUGAAAGUUUGCGGCUCAACCGUAAAAUUGCAAUUGAUACUGGCAGUCUUGAGUACAGUUGAGGUAGGCGGAAUUCGUGGUGUAGCGGUGAAAUGCUUAGAUAUCACGAAGAACUCCGAUUGCGAAGGCAGCUCACUGGACUGCAACUGACACUGAUGCUCGAAAGUGUGGGUAUCAAACAGGAUUAGAUACCCUGGUAGUCCACACAGUAAACGAUGAAUACUCGCUGUUUGCGAUAUACAGUAAGCGGCCAAGCGAAAGCAUUAAGUAUUCCACCUGGGGAGUACGCCGGCAACGGUGAAACUCAAAGGAAUUGACGGGGGCCCGCACAAGCGGAGGAACAUGUGGUUUAAUUCGAUGAUACGCGAGGAACCUUACCCGGGCUUGAAUUGCAGAGGAAGGAUUUGGAGACAAUGACGCCCUUCGGGGCCUCUGUGAAGGUGCUGCAUGGUUGUCGUCAGCUCGUGCCGUGAGGUGUCGGCUUAAGUGCCAUAACGAGCGCAACCCUUGCCGAUAGUUACUAACAGGUUAUGCUGAGGACUCUGUCGGGACUGCCAUCGUAAGAUGUGAGGAAGGUGGGGAUGACGUCAAAUCAGCACGGCCCUUACGUCCGGGGCUACACACGUGUUACAAUGGGGGGUACAGAAGGCCGCUACCUGGUGACAGGAUGCUAAUCCCAAAAGCCUCUCUCAGUUCGGAUCGAAGUCUGCAACCCGACUUCGUGAAGCUGGAUUCGCUAGUAAUCGCGCAUCAGCCAUGGCGCGGUGAAUACGUUCCCGGGCCUUGUACACACCGCCCGUCAAGCCAUGGGAGCCGGGGGUACCUGAAGUGCGUAACCGCAAGGAGCGCCCUAGGGUAAAACUGGUGACUGGGGCUAAGUCGUAACAAGGUAGCCGUACCGGAAGGUGCGGCUG